rnacentral:rRNA from 1 species
UACAGAGGGUGCAAACGUUGCUCGGAAUUAUUGGGCGUAAAGCGCGUGUAGGCGGCUUGUUAAGUCGGUUGUGAAAACCCAUGGCUCAACCAUGGAAGGGCGUCCGAAACUGGCAAGCUAGAGUCCCGACGAGGAUGGCGGAAUUCCCAGUGUAGAGGUGAAAUUCGUAGAUAUUGGGAGGAACACCGGUGGCGAAGGCGGCCAUCUGGGAGGGCACUGACGCUGAGGCACGAAGGUCAGGGGAGCAAACGGG